rnacentral:rRNA from 1 species
CCUUCCGGGUUGUAAACCUCUUUCAGUAGGGAAGAAGCGAAAGUGACGGUACUGCAGAAGAAGCGCCGGCUAACUACGUGCCAGCAGCCGCGGUAAUACGUAGGGCGCAAGCGUUAUCCGGGAAUUAUUGGGCGUAAAGAGCUCGUAGGCGGUUUGUCGCGUCUGCCGUGAAAGUCCGGGGCUCAACUCCGGGAUCUGCGGUGGGUACGGGCAGACUAGAGUGAUGUAGGGGAGACUGGAAUUCCUGGUGUAGCGGUGAAAUGCGCAGAUAUCAGGAGGAACACCGAUGGCGAAGGCAGGUCUCUGGGCAUUAACUGACGCUGAGGAGCGAAAGCAUGGGGAGCGAACAGGAUUAGAUACCCUGGUAGUCCAUGCCGUAAACGUUGGGCACUAGGUGUGGGGGACAUUCCACGUUUUCCGCGCCGUAGCUAACGCAUUAAGUGCCCCGCCUGGGGAGUACGGCCGCAAGGCUAAAACUCAAAGGAAUUGACGGGGGCCCGCACAAGCGGCGGAGCAUGCGGAUUAAUUCGAUGCAACGCGAAGAACCUUACCAAGGCUUGACAUGGACCGGAUCGCCGCAGAAAUGUGGUUUCUCCUUUUGGGGCUGGUUUACAGGUGGUGCAUGGUUGUCGUCAGCUCGUGUCGUGAGAUGUUGGGUUAAGUCCCGCAACGAGCGCAACCCUCGUUCUAUGUUGCCAGCACGUGAUGGUGGGGACUCAUAGGAGACUGCCGGGGUCAACUCGGAGGAAGGUGGGGACGACGUCAAAUCAUCAUGCCCCUUAUGUCUUGGGCUUCACGCAUGCUACAAUGGCCGGUACAAAGGGUUGCGAUACUGUGAGGUGGAGCUAAUCCCAAAAAGCCGGUCUCAGUUCGGAUUGGGGUCUGCAACUCGACCCCAUGAAGUCGGAGUCGCUAGUAAUCGCAGAUCAGCAACGCUGCGGUGAAUACGUUCCCGGGCCUUGUACACACCGCCCGUCAAGUCACGAAAGUUGGUAACACCCGAAGCUCGGUGGCCUAACCCCUUGUGGAGGUAGCC